rnacentral:lncRNA from 1 species
AUAAGGCUUCACAGAAAGAUUGAAUACACAUCAACAAGGCACAAACCGGUCCAUAAGCAAACAGAUAGUAGUCUCUGAUAUUGUACUUUCAUCUUCAACCUCUUUGGUGCUCUCCUUUUUAUCUUCUUUCCCACGUACUUGUUCUUUCUUAGCUCUUAACACAAACGGCUUCCUGCCUUUAACCUUCUCUCCCAGCUUCGCAAGCUCACCCAUGCAUAUCUCCACAACUGCCGACAUUUUCACUGCGAUAACCAAGAACCCACUUGGAAUUUUCAGCUGGCUCUUUCUUUCUUGUUGAUCUUUCUUUAUUGAAUAUGAAACGAGAAGCAACGUGGGGUUUAUAAAGAAGAGAAGGCGAGCAAAAGUCCACGUAGAAUUUGGCGGGUUCUGGAGAACCGCUGGUUUUGACUGUUGGGGAGAAAAAUCAAUGUGUGGAUGCCCACAGAGAUGCCGUUUUGAGAACCUUCUGUUCCAUUUAUCUUUCUUUGGAUUGGAUAUUCCCGCGUUUGCAAGAAAAUAUCCUUUUGCGUGACAGUUCUAAUGUGUGACUACUCACACAUUAAUUAUCAAUGCUCAAUUUCAAAACUAACCUCUAGUUCUUAACUUGGAGUAUUUGAUCAAACGGUGAGCUACUAAUAUCUUACAUUGUUUUAUUAAUUUAGAGUUACAUCUUAAAACAUUUUAUUAGCACAGACUGACAGACACGUAACAAUUUUAUAUUACUAUAUAAAAUCUAAUAAAAUUAGACUCAUUAAUAUAAUAUUUGAUUAUAUAAUAAAAGAGUCUAUAAAAAUUUAUUCUGAUCAAAUAAAUAAAUAAUAAUUAGAGUGAUUUAUCCCGUGAUAUGGUUUUAAACCGCACCAAUUUUUUUUUUAAAAACUUAAAAAGAUCUUUUUAGGGUAGAGUUGUAUAGCAAGAUGCUAAUUUUAUUUUUAAAUUUAUAUUUUAUCAAUUAAAUUAGAGGUUUUUAGGAAAUAAAAUUUAAAAAGGGUAUUGUAAGGAUUUUAGAGGGGUGUUAGAAGCCCCACUCUUUUGUACUAGUGCUACGGACAUAUGGUUACAAUUGAUAUUGGCCUAUGGGUAAAGCCCUGUAUUUUAUGUUAUCCACUAUAAUUCUAGGUGAACUUAUUGAGGCUAAUCUUGAAUUAGGGGUGGACAAAUACUUCAAUCCAAUUGAAUCUGAAUCGCAAUGCAGCGAUGCACAUACAAGCACAAAGUUUUGAUCCAAUCCAAUUUAUAUUCGGAUUUAAUCGGAUUGUAUUAUAAGUUUGGGUUGAGUUCAGAUUACUUUUUUUUUUCCAAUUUGUUUAAUCCAAAAUCCGAUCGCGUUAAUUCGAACCUGAAUUUUCCUACCCCUACAACUAUCAUUAGAGGAUAUAAUUAAAAAGAAAUGAGUUAUACGAUUAUUUGCAAUAAUUCAUGUCUAAAGCUAUGAAGCAAAUACCCAAACAUCAUCAGCAAAUAAUUAAUGUCUUAUUUAUAAGUUUGAAAACGAAAUAACCCCAUCGAUAGCGCUUCCACAUUGUAAAUCGCACUUAUUCCAUUACAAACAAACAAUUAAGUACCAUACCAUAACCUAAAUUUCUAUCUUAAAAAUGGUUCCUUAUCUAAAUAUAAUAAUUAGUCAUUGAAAAAUCCAUAAAAUUUAAUAUACAAUCACCGACCUUAUGAUUGAUGUAAAAUGCAUUUUUUUUUCAAUUUUAUUUUGUCAUACACCCACCACUUGUUUUCUAUAUUAACAUAAAUUCCAAUUUUUUCAUUUAUUAAUAUUUUAAUGCGAUCACAAUACUCGUUCCAAGAUGUAUUAUAUAGGAUUAAUAUUAUGACAUAGUCUCAAGUCUGACCUAUCUCAACUUAGGUAGUUGAACGUACUUGACCAAAUUACCCUUUCUUAGCGCCAAAAUUCAGUUAGGUACAAUCAAUCGCAGCAGCAAGUACUUUGAAAUUUUGAAACGAAGCACACAUGUUUCGUUCUGGCGUGACUGAUCAGUUCCUCGCAGCUUCCUCUUCAACCUCAAAGCGUUGACGAAGGAAAAAUGAAAAGAGUCUUCACUGGUGAGAGCACAACUCUACAGGAAAGAAUUCACAUUUUCUUUGUUCUUUAUUAUUUCUUUCAACUGUCACUUUGCCUUCAUGAUUUUCAUUUUCUUCAUUCUCUUCGUGGCAGCCUCCCUUUUCUCCAAUUCCUAAUAAACGCCAAAAAUGCUUCGUUUAGUUCUCUUAUUGAUUGAUUUUGCUUUCUGGGUUUGUGAGAUAUGUUGAUUUUGCUUCAUGGGUUGUUUUUUCAAUUAGUUAUAUUUUGUGGGUUUUUGAAAUAUUUGGUCAUGCUUCAUCUGUGUAUUUGAUGAUCAUUUCGUUUUGCUUCAUGCUUCUUAAAUCAUUGAAAUGAUUGAUUAAGUUUCUUGUAUGCUUUGAUGGAUUGUUGAAGUAAUUGAUUUUGCUCCGUGGGUAUGUUGAACUAUUGGCUUUUAUUUAUUGGGGGUUUUUUAAUUAGUGUUUUAAUUGGUUUAUUGGUUUAUUGAAAUAGGGUUACUGGUUUUGAGUUGAUUUUGAGUAGGGUUUACAAAAUGGCUCAGCUUUUGAGGAAAAUUCUGCCUGUUGUGCCAUUGAGAUCAAAACCUUAUGAUGAUGAUGAGGAUGAUAAAAAUAACACUGAAUAUUCAUUUGCCGUUGAGUAUUCUGGCCCUCUGAUCAGUUCUGAUAUUCCCCUGGCAUCGCCAAUAGUUGUUGACCAAAUCCCCAUUGCUGUUACGGUUGCCUCUCCUUCCUUGUUAAGAGAUAGGUCGUUGCCAGUAAUCCAACCAACUGUAAAAAGUACUCCAGGAGGCAGAAGACGGUUGAAGGAGCCUGAAUUAAGUUCUGAACCUACAUUACGUAGUAAUUCAUUGACCAAUUCCGGAGCGUCCUUGACUGGUCCUAAUGUGUCCUGUGAAUCACAAAGUUUGGUAGAUAGCUCAGGUGAUGUUGGAUGUGCAACUGGUGAUUACUCCCAGCCCAAGUCAGUUAAUGGAGUUAGAAGUUCCAGUAAAUUCAGAAGUCCUGAUGCUCAAGAUAAUUCAUCUGACGUAAUAAGAAGUUCUGCUAAACUGAAUAGUCUUGAUCGUCAUGAUAAUUUGUGUGUAAUUCUAAAAUUAUCUGAUGGUAGUGAAGAAGGUGCAGAUGCAGGCCUGCAAAAUGGUAUAAAUCCUGCCAAUUUGGAUUUAACAGAUUCUGGUUUAAGUUCACAUGAACAUACAUCAAAGUUUUUUUCUUGCAAUGAGGGAUAUUUUGGUGAUGAAGAAACUCCUUCCAAUGUUAGAGGAUCAUCAGUUGUUAUUUCUGAUGAUCCUGAGACAAGUGAUAUAGUCCAUGAAGAAUCUGAUAACUCUGAAAGCGUCCAUCUGAGAGCAAAGGCUGAAAGAUAUGGGAAGAAAAGUUCAUGCUGUCAAUGCUUGCAGGAAUAUCAAUCUCUUGAAAUGGAGGUUUGCAUAGUUUGUGAUACAAUGUAUUGUUGUAACUGUGUGGUGAGAGCAAUGGGGUCAACACCUGAAGGAAGAAAAUGUGUUUCCUGUGUUGAUUCCAGGUUAGAUGUGUGCAUGCCCAUGUCAUCUAAUGGAAUAGGAAGUUCUGGUAAAUCAAAUAGCCUCAACUGUUACGAUAAUAUGCCUGCAAACAAUGAAUUGCCCGAUAAUAGGAACGAUGGCGCUAAUGCAGGAUUUCAUGAUUAUAUGAAUCCUGCUGACUCAGAGUCAACGGAGUCAGAUGUAAGUUCAUACAGUGUUUCAUCUGAGGUGUUUUCUUGCAAAGAGGAGGGUUUUAAUAACGAAGAAACUCCUGGCCAUGUUAGAAGACCAUCAGUCGUUAGUUUCCGUGACCCUGACCCAAGUGAUACAGUUUAUGAAGAAUCUGAUUAUUCUGAGGUUGAAAGCAUCCAUGAGAGGCCAAAGGCUGUAAGGCCAGGGAAGAAAGGUUCGUGCUAUCGAUGCUUGAAAGGAAAUCGGUUCACUGAGAAGGAUUUCUGUAUUGUUUGUGGUGCAAAAUAUUGUUCAAACUGUGUGCUGAGGGCAAUGGGAUCAAUGCCAGAAGGAAGAAAAUGUGUUACUUGCAUUGGUUUCAGCGUGGAUGAUUCUAAGAGACGAAACCUGGGGAAGUGUUCUCAGAUGCUCAAAAGAUUGCUGACUGAGACGGAAGUUAAACAAAUAAUGAGAUCUGAAAUAUUGUGCAAAGCAAAUCAGUUGCCACCAGAGCGUGUUUUUGUGAAUGGUGAACAUUUAUCUCAGAAAGAGCUCGUUAUACUGCUUAGCUGCCCAAACCCUCCAAAAAAGCUAAAUCCAGGAACCUAUUGGUAUGAUAAAGUGUUGGGUUUUUGGGGAGAGGUAAACAUCAGAAACUGCUGCUAUUAUUUAAUAUUCUUUUCUUGUUUAUUCUAAUUCCAUUGCACCAUGAUAGAAUUAAUAUUUGAAUUCCAUUGCACCAUGAACAGGAAGGACACCGGCCUUGCCAGAUUAUAAGCCCCCAGCUGAAUGUCGGGGGUCAGAUAAUGAAAAAUGCUAGCAACGGAAAUACAAAUGUCAUGAUCAAUAAUCGGGAGAUUACUAGAAGAGAGCUCUGGAUGCUUAAGGUCAUUUCAGUGGGCAAAUUUAUGUUCAUUUGAAAUUCAGUGUUUCUAAAAAUAAGAUCCAUACUGUUCUGUAUUUCUGUUAAAUGCUGCAGUUAGCAGGAGUGCAAUGUGAAGGACAACAUCACUUUUGGGUGAGCGCAGACGGUUCCUACCUGGAAGAGGGAAUGAGAGAUAUAAAGGGGCGUAUAUGGGACAAGGUAUGUCUGCAUAUGGAUGUGCAUUGGCUUUCUUAGUUAAACUAUUCCUUAAUUUCUGAUUUGUGAUUACCGUGUAUGUACUUUACAGAGUACAAUAAAACUAGUUUGUGCUUUGUUGUCUUUGCCAACCCCUCCUGAUUCUGAGAAUCCUUGUGGCAAUGAAGUGAAUGGCGUUAACCCGUGUGAGCAGCAAAGACUUAUUAAACUUUUUCUUCUUGGUGAACACAAAUCAGGCACGAGUACCAUAUAUAAACAGGUAGGAAUUAUUGGAACCUGUAAGAAACUUUGUCUAAUACACAUGCUAUUAUUAUUCAUAUAUUAUUAAUCUGACUGGUGAACAUUGGAUGGCUUAUAUUUAUCUUAUUAUGCAGCCAGCUUGUGUUGUCGUUUUGCUUCAUGUCUUGUCAUUUCUAGGACUUCAAGAUUUUAAAAGGAAAGAUGUUUUAGAGCAUGUUAGUUGAUUUUUAAAAUUUGUAUUCGAUGUAGUAUACUUAUUCACAAAGAUGUCAGAUUAUGUUAUUUGACAACUAGCUUAAGAUUUCAUUGUUUAACAACAUUCAUCGAAGGUACAAUAAAUUGUCUAAUUGCACUUUGGUACGAAGAGUGUUUUUUAUUGUGCAUAAAAAGCUACAUACAAGGUGGUCUCAUAUCAUCACACUGCCGUUGAUGCUUAAAAUAUAGUAGCGGAAAUCCUUUCUCCUUCUUGGUUACAUGCUGUUUUUUGUGACUUUAUGGGGACAUUAUGCCUUUCUAGAUCACGUUAAGUUUUUGUAUUUGUAAUAAAGCAAAGGCCAUAAGCCUUUGUUAAGGUCUUAAAACUGAAAUUUUGAUUCCAUGGUGAAUUGAACAUCAAGUUUUAUUCUUUGUUUCGGCUGUACUUAAAGACUUUUAUCAUUUUUUUAUUUUGUAUCCCUUUUGUACCUUUUUCUCUUUCUCCCUUUUUAGACAUUGGUGCAAAGGCACAUGAUGACAGAGAUGUUUGUUUCAGGCCAAACUUCUGUUCAAGGUUCCAUUCUCUGAAGAAGAGCGUCAAAAUAUUAAGUUCAUGAUCCAAAGUAAUCUGUACUUCUAUAUUGGUAUUUUGCUUGAGGGCCGUGAGCGAUUUGAAGAAGAAAGCUUGUUUGGGAAGGGAAAAAGACAGGUUAUUGACGAGCCAGGUCCUUCAGGUAACAUAGAGAUUAGAUUUACUUCUCUUUUCCAGUGCUUGUAUGAUUUGCUGUUUAUUGAAUGUUCCAUGAGAUCUUGUUUGGAGCAUGCAUAUGACGCAUAAAAAUGUUUGCCUUUGUUAUCUACUGUUUUGAGUUAUUUCUGGUAGAUAUUGAACAUAUGUAUAUCACUUUUUUCUGGGAAGUCUAGCUUGUCAAAAGUCAAGUUCUUUGUUAUUAUUUUACAUGCAUGGAGUGCAGUUUUACUUUCACUCGAUUUUUUGGACUUCUUAGUGCCUUUAGCGUUAAAAUUAUCAAUUGUGUUGGAUUGAAGUUCAUCACAUCAGCAAGUUGACCCUGAGGGUGGAAGGGACAACUAUGAUGUCCAGUAUUUUGUACAUUUAAUUAUUGAGCAUUUAAUAACUGUGGUCUCAUUGAAAUUUAAUGAUAUUUUUAUUCUGUACCUUCACUAUAAUCUUCUUGCAGACACAAUUCUGGCCUGUGGUUUUGAUUUCAGUAUCUGGUAGAACAUGAAAUUUGGAGAUAAAUCAUUGUCUGCAGCCAAUUAGAACUUUCUUGUGACUAACCUGUGCCAUCAGUAGUAAACCUCAAAUUUCUUUAAAAUGUUCUUUUAACAUGUUUAACUAUUUAAAAUCAUUGGAGUAAAGAGCAUAUUGAAAUAGCAUCACAUAGCUUGUGAACAUAUUUGAUUCUUCUUGGUGGUUGUAAAUUUCAUUUUUUUUUUAAGAAAAAUAAUCAUAUUUCUUUCUUUCCUUAUUUUUGAGGUUUUAUUUUUUUAUUUUUUUAUUUUUUCAGAGUAAAAAAUAUUCUGCAUGAAGAAAGUUACAUUUGUAAUUAGUUUAGCAAUUGGGAGGACUCUGAUUUUAUUCAGGUACAACACUAAUACAGGGCAGAUUGAUGAUAAAAUGAUGUAUUCCAUCGGUCCAAGACUGAAAGCUUUCUCUGGUUGGCUUCUCAAAGUCAUGGCAUCUGGUAAUUUGGAAGCCAUAUUCCCAGCCGCUACCCGUGAAUAUGCACCAUUUAUUGAGGAGUUGUGGAGGGAUGCAGGCUUCCAAGCCACAUACAACCGGAGAAAUGAAUUAGACAUGCUUCCCAGAAAAGCCACCUAUUUCCUAGAACGGGUUAGAUCACUCUCUAUUGUCCUUGUUUGCUGAGUAUUUCAUUAUUUGUAUUUGGUUCAGCUUCAGUAUAUAUCUUUUGUUUUUGGAUCCAUAGAGUCUUGAUUGUUUAUUUCAUUUGCCUCAUGAUUAUCCAGUGAUCUUGAAUUGCAUCCUCUAUUCCAUAGAUAUGUCAUAAUUGUCAAUGUACAUAUGACCUGUACUGUAAUUUAAAAAUUCCAAGUACAUAUUUAAUACUCUUGUAUUUUGGCUUCUUAUUAAUCAUGUGCUUUCUUAUCCCAUGUCAUUUCAGAAAGCACAUUUCAUAAAAGAUAUUUUUUGAAACCAAAAUGAAAGGCAUUCUGAAGUCACACCAUCAGUUCUCUUCUUGUAUUGUUUCUCGAAAGCUUGAACUAGGAAAGAUGAUUGUUUUGACUUGUAGUUCACUGUUUGCUAUUUUUUCAAUAUUAACAUUAGUUUCCCUCUCAGGCUGUUGAGAUUUCAAAGACAGGCUAUGAGCCCUCAGAUAUGGAUAUCUUGUAUGCUGAGGGAAUUACAUCAAGCAAUGGGCUUUCGUCCAUGGUAUUUUCAUUACCGGAGCAGACACAAGAAAACUCCAUAAGUGACUCUUCCAAUCAGAAUGAUCCCUUGCUCAGGUUACUGUCUAAUCUGUGCUUUAAAUUUACGUAUAAGCCAAAAAUGCAUUGCACUUUGCCAGAUUUUUGCUAUUGCUGUUGCUGUCAAUUGCCAUUGUGAGAUUUAGCUACCGAAGGAAAGGACUUCAUGGGUAGUCAUUCUGGCUUGCAGAUUGAAUUUCGGGUAGCUUAACUCAGUUUGAAUGGGGAUAUUGUCAUCAAUGAAUUGAGUCUGCAAUUCUGUUGGAACUGGAAGUUAUUAGCUAAGUUAGUGGCCCCACUUGGCUUGGCAAGACACAAAAAGAAUAAUCAGUUAAUUGCCUUUCAACUUCAAGAAUACUUUAAAUUUACCAGAAUUUCAUACUUGAGUUUUAGCUAUUGAUUUAUUUCUCUUCUUUGGCAUGAAAUGUUUUAGCAAUCAAAUAUGAAUAAUCUUUUACAGCUGCGAUGGAUCUUUGGCAUAAGUUUCUUGAAAGUGGGGAACGAUGUAUGAUUGAUUACAAAUUGUUCAUCUAACUUACCAAUUUUUGCUUUGCACUUGCAGCUAUCAACUCAUUAGAGUGCAUCCAAGAAGCCUCGGGGAGAACUGCAAGUGGCUAGAAAUGUUUGAAGAUGUUGAUAUGAUCCUCUUUUGUGUUUCUUUGACUGACUACGAUGAAUAUUUUGAAGAUAGCAAAGGAUUUCUCACCAACAAGAUGUUGGCUAGCAGGCAGCUCUUCCAAAACAUUGUCAUUCAUCCAACCUUCAAUCAAAAGAACUUCCUUCUGAUACUCAACAAGUAUGAUAUGUUAGGAGAAAAAAUCGAAGAAGUUCCUCUCUCUCGAUGUGAAUGGUUUGAAGACUUCAAUCCGGCGAUUGAAGUUUUUUACCACAGCACUGGUAGAAGAAAUAACAACGCACCACUGGCUCUAUAUGCCGCCCACUACAUUGCAGUGAAGUUCAAGAGGUUGUUCGAUUCUCUAACUGGUCAUAAGUUGUUUGUUUCAGUAGUUACUGCCUUGGAGCCUGAGACUGUACAUGAAGCUCUCAAAUAUGCAAAGGAAAUUCUGAAGUGGGACGAAGAGGAACCUUUCUACACUAACAUUGAGUCAACUGAUUAUGAAGAGUCAACUGAUGACGAAGCAAGCUCACCAUCGUGAUUUUUCUUCUCGGGUUGAAUUUUGCUCAUCCAUCCUCAGUUAUACAAAACAUUGGAAAGGAUUUUUUUUUUCCAAAGAUAGAAGAGCAUCAGAAGAAAGUACCUAGGGUUAAGCACAUGCUUGUGUAUACUAAUCCAGAUUUGCAUAGAAAGUUAGGGAAAUUAAGAUUCUUUCAUAGAGCUGUAAAGAACUGUCGUUUUGCCAUUUCAAUUAAGAUUUAGCAAAUAAAAGAAGAAUAAUUACUUUGCACAAUGAGACACAUUGCUGACAAGCUUGCAUAAAUACAAACGGACAUGGAAUUCAUUACUUGCGGAUUACAUAUCUUGUCUACAAACAAACAUGAAAAAAAGACCAUUUUAACUACAUAAGGCUCCACAGAAAGAUUGAAUGUACAUCACCAAGGCACAAACCGGUCCAUAAGCAAACAGAUAGUAGUCUCUGAUAUUGUACUUUCAUCUUCAACCUCUUUGGUGCUCUCCUUUUUAUCUUCUUUCCCAUGUACUUGUUCUUUCUUAGCUCUCAACACAAACGGCUUCCUGCCUUUAACCUUCUCUCCCAGCUUCGCAAGCUCACCCAUGCAUAUCUCCACAACUGCCGACAUUUUCACUGCUAUAACCAAGAACCCACUUGGAAUUUUCAGCUGGCUCUCUCUUUCUUGUUGAUCUUUCUUUGUUGAAUAUGAAGUGAGAAGCAAUGUGGGGUGGGUUUAUAAAGAAGAGAAGGCGAGCAAAAGUCCACGUAGAAUUUGGCGGGUUCUGAAGAACCGCUGGUUUUGACUGCUGGGGAGAAAAAUCAAUGUGUGAUGCCCACAGAGAUGCCGUUUAAGAAACUUCUGUUCCAUUUAUCUUUCUUUGGAUUGGAUAUUCCCGUGUUUGCAAGAAAAUAUCCUUUUGCGUGACAGUUCUAUUGUGUGACUACUCACACAUUAAUUAUAAAUGCUCAGUUAGUUGGGAACGCCUAAGUUACAAUCAAUGUACCUUACGUUCUUUGUCUUUUUCUUUUUGGCAAAUAUCAUAUGAGCCCUCCUAAUUCUUUUUAUUUUCAAUUUUUACAGCUGUGGAUGUAUUUGUCUUCUUCCAUCCCUCCUAUCGAUUUUUUUAUUUUCUCUAAAGUUUUAUUUAUUUCUUUAAACAUUAUUAAAUGAUUAUCAAAUUCAUACAAAUCUAUAAAUUCAGAAUAAACUUCUGGUCCUAAAUUUAUUAAUCCUAGUCUUGAAUUGUAGGUUUAUUGCAUGUAAUUUAAUUAUAUAAUUAAAUUAAAGAGAAAUUAUAUAAAAAAUAUAAAAAAUAUACAUGACAGACUUCAAAAUUAACAUGCAAUAGCUUUCAGAAUUACCGUUAAAAUCAUUCCUAAGAAUUAAUUCUGAUUAAAGGGCAUUAUCAACAUAUACUCUGAUUAAUUCUGAUUAAUAGAUACCAUUUGAUAUUUUAAUUUACCAUUUUAAUUCAAUUAAUGUAGUUUCCAUAAAAUUCAAGGGUGCCAAUAGAUAUUUCACUUCUUGAAUGUAUGUUACGUUACACGUAACCUAGGUUUGGCCCAGUUUCAAAACUAACCUCCUGUCUUAACUUGUUGGAGUAUUGAUCAAACGGUGAGCUACUAAUAUCUUAUAUCUUUUAUUAAUCUAUAGUUCCAUCUUAAAACGUUUUAUUAUUAUUUUUUUAUUACAUGAGAUUAAUGUUCAAAAUAUAACUCAUAUUACAUGAGAUUAUAACUGAUAUUUAUAAAUCAGACUAUUACUGGGAUCAACUUACAUCAAUGCUAAUGGAGCUCCGUCCAGAUUUUAACCCUCACAAAUAUUCGAGGGAUGUCUACUCCUCACUCUUGGGUAAGAAAAUAGACUAUCUCCACUCAAUUUUUAAUUGAAGAAUGAAAUACCCCCACAAUACAUUUGUGGGGGUUCGAACUACUGCCCUCCAAGUUAGAGGGCAGCAGCCCUGACCACUCGGCCCAAGGCUGAGUGGCUUAAAACGUUUUAUUAUUUGAAUUAAACAACAAUUAAAAAAGUAUUAAAUUCAUUUUUUGAGUAAUAUUGAGGACACCAGCUCGAAUUAUUUUCAUUAGAUUGUUAACUAAUACUUGGUCUUAAUUAUAACAAUCAAAGGAUCUAAUAAGUUGAAAAAUAAUAACAAAAGUACGGUGAUAUGGUAUGAGCAAAACCAUACCGUAGAUUUUCCAUUUUGUUCAUUAGCAAGACGGCACGUGUUCCCACUUGAGGAGUUGGCCACGGACACGUAACGUUCACGUGGCCUAAUAGCUGCUUUGCGGAAAAGUCCCAUCAUUCUCAAUUAUUGAGUAAUUGAGAUUUUGGCCCACGGCCUUCUGGUGUCUGGAUGUGGAUCAUUCGUUUGAAUUUCUUGGCCCUUCAAUUAUUUGAAUCAAAUAUUCGGGAUUAAAAUUAUAUACCUAACCAAACUUUUAUUUAUUUAUUUUUUAAUUUGUUAUAUAAUUUAAGGAUAUAUUGCAAUAUCGGUCUAUAGGAAAUAUAAAUACAUAUGAAGGCUCAGAUUUAACUUCUAUUCAAUUUUUUUUUCUCGGGUUUCGACAAAAAUAAGAAAAAAUAAUUGUCGUCCUUAAUAUUAUUGAAGGUAUGAAUCCACUAUUACACUUUGGACAAAAAGUCUUAUAACUAUACUUAACCAAAUUUAUUGUGUAAAAAUCAAUUUAAUCUGUGAAGUGAAAAAUAUCAUUUUAAUUAUACAGUCCAAAUACAUAAAUCAAAAUUCCUAUCUUGACAAAAAUGUGAUGGCGACAAAAGUAAAGGGAAGUUCAAAGCCAAAUUGCAAAAAUAUCUCAAGAUUGCUCUUGAGGAUAUUUUUUGAAGGUAAUGGGGUUGUCGAUAUUUUGAGAUCUUAAAAGAUAUUAUUAUGUAUAUGACAAAAAUCACAUUUUAAAAAGUAGGAAUUAAUAUCCACAAUUUAGAAAACGUUAUUAUAUGUUUUUUUUGUACACUCGUGCUUCACAUUUUAUUUAUUGGUGAGAAACAACUCAAGAUUUGGGGUUAACAUGGAGAAAGUUUGAUAAUGUGUUUGCUUUUUAUGAGGUAAAAGUUGACGUUUGUCGUAAAAAAAUACAAGCAAAGGAAUGCUUUUUGUUUAAUUUCAUGGGAAGUGUAAUAUCAAGAUGAUUAAGAUUAAGUGUGACUUAAUAAUUCCUAGAUCCGAUAAUCAAAUGCACAAAACUGACUUGAUGCUGUAAACGAUUAUCACAGCCACCUUUAUUGAAAUCCAAUCACCAAUCUUAAUAGAAUUUCUCAAUUGCAUAUUUGCAAAACCCAAACCAGCUACAAAUUAACCAAACUAAGAACAACAUUUCACAAUUUAUGCACAUAAAAUCCAACCAUGAUGGAGAUGGACCCAACUAUACUCAUUGGGUUUUUUUUUUUUUUUUAAUAUUACGUUCAAAUUUUAUUAACAUUUUAAUUAGAAAUUUACUGGAAUCAGUAUUGAUCAACACAAUGUCAAGAAGUACAACUAAAAAAUCUGCUUUGAAAUUUAGCCCAUUUUACUUUUUAUUGUUCUAAUUCUUAUGUUCGAACUUCGAAUAGAGAAAUUUUCUCAUUUUAAAUAUUGUCUUGUUAUCUUUGAGAUUUUAUUUUGCAAAUAAUACGAAAACAAGGACCAGCAACACAAAGCAAAAAGCAGAAGUAGCUAGAGGUUCAAUUGAUAAAUUACAUUAAUAUUUGUUCGAUCAAGGGCUAAAGCAGGUCAACAAACAUGGAAACUGAAGCUUCAAAAUAGAGCACACACUGACACAAGUGAAUGAGCCCUUAUUAAUAAUAUUGAACAACAGUAGUUCUUAAUAUUCAAGAGUUACUUAAAAAUACUUUGGCUCAGUGUAGGAACCUUUCAUUUAUAAGUUACAAAAUUAUCUAUCUCGUUAUGAAUGAAAAUAACACAAUUUAAUAUUAUAUUUAUCCAUAAUAUAUUAUCAUAUAAAAUGUAAUAAAAUUAGACUCAUUAAUUAUGAUAUUUAAUUAUAUAAUAAAAGAGUCUAUAAAAAAAUUAUUCUGGUCAAAUACAUAAUAAUUAGAAUGAUUUAUCUCGUGUUAUGGUUUUAACUCUUAAACCGCACCAUUUGUUUUUUUGUCGCAAGCCUAUGAUCAUGAAUUUUUCCCACGGGUGCACGUCGACAAAUGUUUUCUUGUUUGGGGGCACUAACGUAAAAAUAAGCAUUAAUAUUGGGACUUAUUAUUUAUAAAGAUGGAAUGUUUAUAUGUAUAUGUUAUAAAGAUUGAAUAUUUAUAGGUUAUGUCUAUAAAAUAAAAUAAGCAUUAAUGUAUCUGCUGCCCACGUCACCAACUGACUUAACAGAUUUUGGCGCCAUUUUCGAACUUUGUUUCUCGAAAUAUACAGAGAGAGAGAGAGGAACAUAAAGGAGUUCGAGUACAUCAAAUUAUGGGGUCUUGCUUGUGCGACAGGUCAGUUGCUUGAUUGCAAAAGCUUCUGCGUGCCUUUCGAGUAAGAUUCACAAUAUGGCAUAAUGGAUUUGUAUUAAUCAUGCGUACUUUACGUAUAGACGAAUAAGACGGUCGCCUAAGGUCUUAAAUUUUAAAAAUAUCUAAUUUUUUUAAUAUUAAUAAUAAUUAUCUAAUUAAUAAAGAUUUUUAAAAAAAAUUAUAUUGUAGAAAAGCUUAAUAGACAUAUCUCUAAUUAAUAAUUAUCAUAUAAUUAAUUAUUAUUAUUUUUAUAUAAAAACCUAUAAUUGGUUAUCUUAUUGUUAAAUAGAUAUAAUUAAUAAUAUUGUCUAACCAUUAAUUUAUUCAUUAUUAGUUUUUCCAAUAAAAAUAAGUAAAUUUUUUACCUUUUCAACUUCUUA